rnacentral:rRNA from 1 species
UAAGGAAUAUUGGUCAGUGGACGCAAGUCUGAACCAGCCAUGCCGCGUGGAGGAUGAAGGCCCUCUGGGUUGUAAACUUCUUUUAUAUGGGACGAAAAAGUGUCUUUCUAGAUCAACUGACGGUACCAUGUGAAUAAGCACCGGCUAACUCCGUGCCAGCAGCCGCGGUAAUACGGAGGGUGCAAGCGUUAUCCGGAUUCACUGGGUUCAAAGGGUGCGUAGGUGGGUUGGUAAGUCAGUGGUGAAAUCUCCGAGCUUAACUUGGAAACUGCCAUUGAUACUAUCAGUCUUGAAUAUUGUGGAGAUGAGCGGAAUACGUCAUGUAGCGGUGAAAUACUUAGAUAUGACAUAGAAAACCAAGUGCGAAAGCAGCGGGCUACGCAUAUAUUGACACUGAGGCACGAAAGAGUGAGGAUCAAACA